GACAGCAGCCGCCGCGGUAAUACGAAGGGUGCAAGCGUUAACCGGAAUUACUGGGCGUAAAGCGUGCGCAGGCGGUUGUGUAAGUCAGAUGUGAAAUCCCCGAGCUUAACUCGGGAACUGCAUUUGAAACUGGCAGGCUAGAGUCCCGUAGAGGGGGGUAGAAUUCCAGGUGUAGCGGUGAAAUGCGUAGAGAUCUGGAGGAAUACCGGUGGCGAAGGCGGCCCCCUGGACGAAGACUGACGCUCAGGUACGAAAGCGUGGGGAGCAAACAGGAUUAGAUACCCCUGUAGUCCCUGUCUCUUAUAC
rnacentral:rRNA from 1 species